GACGUAGGGCGCGAGCGUUUGUCCGGAUUUAUUGGGCGUAAAGAGCUCGUAGGCGGCUUGUUGCGUCGGCUGUGAAAACCCAUGGCUCAACCGUGGGCUUGCAGCCGAUACGGGCAGGCUAGAGUUCGGUAGGGGAGACUGGAAUUCCUGGUGUAGCGGUGAAAUGCGCAGAUAUCAGGAGGAACACCGGUGGCGAAGGCGGGUCUCUGGGCCGAUACUGACGCUGAGGAGCGAAAGCGUGGGGAGCGAACAGG
rnacentral:rRNA from 1 species